GGGGGGGGAGGAGCUGGAGCGGCUCCGGUUGGACCCCGAGGCCUUUUGUGCCUGGAGCAGCCCCGGCACGGCCACGGGGGGCCUUGUGUACGGGCACUACGGGAGACCCCAGGACCUGGCCCAGCUCCGCAAACGGGGGGUGUCGGCCCGGGGGCACAUCCUGAUCCUGCGCCUGGGGAGGGGGACCCCCAAUCAACAGGUGGCGGCGGCAGCGGGGGCAGGGGCCGUGGGGGUC